GACGAACGCUGGCGGCGUGCUUAAUACAUGCAAGUCGAGCGGACGGAUGGGAGCUUGCUCCCAGACCGUCAGCGGCGGACGGGUGAGUAACACGUGGGCAACCUGCCUGUAAGACUGGGAUAACUCCGGGAAACCGGGGCUAAUACCGGAUAACUCUUUCCCUCACAUGAGGGAAAGCUGAAAGAUGGCAUCUCGCUAUCACUUACAGAUGGGCCCGCGGCGCAUUAGCUAGUUGGUGAGGUAACGGCUCACCAAGGCGACGAUGCGUAGCCGACCUGAGAGGGUGAUCGGCCACACUGGGACUGAGACACGGCCCAGACUCCUACGGGAGGCAGCAGUAGGGAAUCUUCCGCAAUGGACGAAAGUCUGACGGAGCAACGCCGCGUGAGUGAUGAAGGUUUUCGGAUCGUAAAACUCUGUUGUCAGGGAAGAACAAGUACCGGAGUAACUGCCGGUACCUUGACGGUACCUGACCAGAAAGCCACGGCUAACUACGUG
rnacentral:rRNA from 1 species